UUUACGUUACACCUUGAAUGCAGCAUGCAACAGUGUCCUUACGAAAACAAAGAACAUGGCGUCGAUUGUGUGGGACUUCUUCAAAGUUUCCGAAGAAGACAGUUCGCUGGUUACUUGUAACAAAUGUUCCAAGCGAGUUCCACGAUGAGGGAGAACUAGCACGAGCUUUAAUACUUCGAAUCUGAUCAGCCACCUGAAACACAACCACCGCUUCGACGGAGUUUUGAAAGCCUAUGAGGACGCCCGGGCUGCUAAAGAUGCUAACGUUAGCAACGUAAAGCCACCUGCAAAGAAGCCACCGGGACUUAGACACAUCGGCGAGGCUUUCGAAAAAUCCAAGAGGUUUUCCAAAGAUGAUCCGCAGGCUAAAGCUAUUGAAGAUUUAAUCAUGGACAUGAUGGCGCUUGAUGACCAGCCCUUCACUCUCGUCGAGGACAGAGGCUUUUCCCGUCUGAUUAAUCACUUGGAGCCGCGGUUUACAUUGCCGAGCCGCCGCUACUUUUCUGAUGUGUGCCUUCCAGCUAAGUAUGAUGCGAUUGCCAAAUGUGUUCACACUUUGAUUGAUAACAACGUGAAAGACAUGAGCUUCACCAUGGAUAUAUGGACUUGUGAUGUCAGCCCUGUAAGCAUGAUGAGUCUGACCGCGCAGUGGAUAAAUACAGACUUUAAAAUGUACAGAGCGGUGUUGCACUCCCAGGAGCUGCCCGGAUCACACACAGGUAUAAUGAUUCAACAGACUUUUGAAGCUAUGCUACAGGAGGAGGGAGCCCCUGUACUAUCUGGCAACAAUAGUGGACCCGCGGUAUAAGGAUCGCUACUUCACCCUCGCAUCAAAACGGCAAGCAACAGGUAUGCUGCGGGAAAAGUUGCUGGAGAAUGAUGGUGCCACAGCUGCCACUCCCCAGCCAGGGGAGCCACCAGAGAAGAGGAGCAGGGGAGACGGAAACAACUCGUUGUUGGGAAUGUUUGAGGCAAUACUGGAAGAAAACAACGAAGCUGCCAUUCAUCAGGAAAACAGCAGAGUUGAUGCAGAACUCCAGUCAUAUCUGUCGGAGCCAACGCUUCACGUGAGCCGUUGCCCACUGGAAUACUGGAGGAGCAACCAGUCCCGCUUUGAGUGCAUGGCCCAGCUUGCUCUGAAAUAUCUGUCAGCACCUUGCACGAGCGUCGACAGCGAGCGUUUGUUUUCUGCUGCUGGACACGUGAUGACCGAGCAAAGAAACAGACUUGCAUGCGAAAAGGCAGAAAAGCUGCUUUUCAUUAAAAAAAAAUCUUCCCCUGAUCCAUCCAGAGGUGGAAGAGUAGAUAAGUAGUUCCCCUCUUAAAGGAACCAAAAGUUUGAGUGUUGAGAAUACAAUGUGAUAUCAGGUCAGAACAUGUGCCACCUUUUGAAAUAUUAAAGCUUGUAGCUAUUUCCCUCUUGUCUGAAGCUUUCAUAAGCUAAAAGAACAACUCAGCCUCAUUUACUUUAAUUAAUGGUAUUCAUUUGAAUGGAACCACAAGCCAAAAUCCUUUAAACUUAAUUUUUUGUUCCUAUGGAAUGCACUUUUUCAGUUUGUUUACAUAGAAAUGUUUGACUAUAACUUGUCAGUGCAUUAAUUUUCUAUGUAUAUAUAUAUAUUUUUGCACUUUUUCAGUUUGUAAUCCUGAUGCAUUUAUUUGCAUCAGUUCAAGGGGCCUUCAUUGUUCAUAUCAAUAAGUAAUGCACCUUACUUAAGUUGAUGUGAGAUAUCAAUAGAUUUGUUUGAUAGCCUUAAGAAAAUGUUUGAGAGGCUUGCUAAGAGUUUUUCUUUGGAAAAAAUAAAUAUCUCUUCAUUUAAAGACUCAAAA